rnacentral:tRNA from 1 species
AAGAUAUUAGUAAAAUAAUUAUAUAACUUUGUCAAAGUUAAGUCACAGGUGAGACCCCCGUAUAUCUUC